UACGUAGGGCGCAAGCGUUGUCCGGAAUUAUUGGGCGUAAAGAGCUCGUAGGCGGCCAGUUGCGUCUGCUGUGAAAUCCCGGGGCUCAACCCCGGGCGUGCAGUGGAUACGGGCUGGCUAGAGGCAGGCAGGGGAGAACGGAAUUCCCGGUGUAGCGGUGAAAUGCGCAGAUAUCGGGAGGAACACCGGUGGCGAAGGCGGUUCUCUGGGCCGAUACUGACGCUGAGGAGCGAAAGCGUGGGGAGCGAACAGG
rnacentral:rRNA from 1 species